UCCCUACCUGGUGCGUAUAGAUUGAAAUUUUAUUACCAACAAAUUUUUAAAGGGAGUCCGCCUUUGAAGAUGGCGUGUAGGCUUGCAUAUAUGUAAGAAACCCAGUAGUCUUCAACAAGACACCCACCUGUGUAUACAGGUAUAAAAAUUUCCUUCAACUUACGGCCGAGGCGGGGAU
rnacentral:other from 1 species